ACGUCUACGGCAGUGACAGUGCUAAUAUAACCUGUACAUGUCUCCAGCAGAACGCUUGGUAGUUUUUGACCUGUGUGGUUUGGGUUCCCCAGCCAGGUUGAUGUCUACGGGGACAAAAAAAGACAGAGAGGAGUCAAUCUGGGAGCAAACAUUGUGGGUGUUUGCAGCCCGAGCGUUCCUCUCGUUGGAGUAUUGAACAAAUGCGUAGCCCUUGUGGACGGAGCAGCCGACGAUCUUGCCAUACUUGGAGAAGAUGGCCUCGACGUCUCCUUUGGUCACCAGCAGAGUGUUGAGGUUGCCAAUGAAAACCCGUGAGUUGAGGGAGCGUGGGUCCGUCUUGUUGGUGACGUUGCUGCUGGCCAUCAGGCUGGAGGUGGUGGGUGAACGACUGGUAGAAGACAGAAGAAACAUAGACAAAACCCACAUUUAGUGGCGUGAAUGAGCAACGCGCACCCCAGUGAAGUAGUGGAGAGUCUGUGAACCUGGAUAAAUGGAGAGCAGGAUUUUCUGUCAAACCUAGACCGUUAAAUCAAAAAUAAACUUGUGCUGAUGAUAAAGGAGCCAUGUGUCCACACCUAUGUUUAUCUGGAAGCUUUGAAAUGAAUCAAAGUAUAGUUAAUAUGCCAUGGCUACAAGCAUGGCUUUGUAAUUUAAAUCUAUUACUGGUAUUAAAAGAAACAAUGGAAACCAUCAAGGAACCGCAUCUUAAGUUACUAAAACAAUCAAAUGAUUGUUUUAGUUACCUAGAUUAUACAGGAAGCAUUUUCUGUUCAGGGUCUGCAAUAAAGCCAAACACUGUCUGUGCCAUUUCAGCACAUUUAUCAUACUUGCGGAAAAAUCACAAGAAAGAGGAAGUAAAUGUAUAAAAAGCAGAAAAACCUAUUAGUGUGAAAGUUUAUUUAGUUAAGUAAUGUUUGGUGUGGGGCUAAUGUUGCUAUCAGGACUCUGAUAAAGAGACUCAUGCCCUGCCCUUUGUAUUACAUUAUUUACAUAUGCCAAUUUUAGAGUUGCUAUGGAAGCAUGUUCAGUUGAACAGGGUAAAUAUUUUCCUUUUUGUGUCAAAUAAUCCAAAAUAAAGCCACAAAGCUGGAGGUCAAAUAAACCAUCUGUACCGAGUGAGACACUCGGGUGUCAAUAAUAAAUUCUGGGUUUAUAUGAGA